rnacentral:tRNA from 1 species
GCCGGGAUGGUGAAAUUGGUAGACACGCCAGACUCAAAAUCUGGUGCCCGCGAGGGCGUGCCGGUUCGACUCCGGCUCCCGGUACCA